rnacentral:lncRNA from 1 species
GAUGUUUUAAGCUUGCCAGCUAUUUGAAGGAACACAUGGAAACACAUACCGGUUUUGAUAAACCACAUGAAUGUGAUGUAUGUGGUAAAAGGUUCAGAAAGAAUCAUUGUCUUACGAUUCAUAUGAGGACCCAUACUGAUGAAAAACCUUUCAAAUGCAACGUGUGUGAAAAGGCGUUUAAACAAAGCAGUAACCUGAACACACACUUGAAAACACAUACGGGUAAUAGAUAUCAUAAGUGCAAUGUGUGCGAUAAAACCUUUAACUCUCCGGGAGAACUGUCUUCUCAUAUGAUGGUACAUACGGGCGAGAAACCUUAUUCUUGUGACAAAUGUGGUAAAGGUUUUACUCAUAAAAGCCUCCUGACUACUCACAUGGACAUACAUUCUGAUAUCAAGGCUUUUGAUUGUGAAACUUGCGGUAAAAGUUUCCGGUUAAAAAACCAUUUAGUAAGCCACAUGAGAACGCACACAGGUGAAAAACCUUUUAAAUGUACUGAAUGUGGCAAAAGUUUUGCUGAAAAUGGGGCUUUAACAAUACAUAAGAGAACACAUUCCGGCGAAACACCAUACGAAUGUGAAGUAUGUGACAGAAAAUUCUCACAUAUAAGUAAUUUACAAAGGCACGUUAAAAAUACCCAUAAUGGAGAAAAACGCUUUCCUUGUGAUUCGUGCGAUAGAGCAUUCGGAGACAACGCUCAGUUAAAGAGACACAUAAGAACACACACGGGUGAAAGGCCAUUCAAGUGCGAAACUUGUGGUAAGACCUAUCAAGAUACUGGUGCAUUGAAGCGACACAAAGGAACACAUACGGGCAUCAAACCGUAUAGCUGUGAUACAUGUGAUAAACAGUUUUUAACCGGAUAUGAGCUGACCAUUCACCAGAGAGUACACACCGGUUACAAGCCAUACACGUGUGACAGAUGUGGAAAAGGAUUUAAUCAAAAAACGCGUUACAGAGAUCACACGAACAAAAACUGCAUUGAGAUCUAAUUUAUCAUCUAAUAAUUUCAUAAUAAUUAAAUAUGCAGAGGAGACUUUUAUAGAAAGUUGUAGACUACAAAUGGCAACAUAUGUUUCUUUUCUUUCAAUCGUUUGUAUAUACAAAUUAUCUUUAAUUGCUGCUUUUAUAAGGAAUGAAACAUAAAUAAAGCAC